rnacentral:rRNA from 1 species
GGUGAACGCUGGCGGCGUGCUUAAGACAUGCAAGUCGAACGGCAGUCUUCGGACUGUAGUGGCGCACGGGUGAGUAACGCGUAACUGACCUACCCCAAAGUCGCGGAUAACGAUUCGAAAGAAUCGCUAAUACGUGAUGUGCUGUCAGAUUGUGUUCUGCCAGUAAAGAUUGAUUGCUUUGGGAUGGGGUUGCGUUCCAUCAGCUAGUUGGUGGGGUAAAGGCCCACCAAGGCGACGACGGAUAGCCGGCCUGGAAGGGUGGCCGGCCACAGGGGCACUGAGACACGGGUCCCACUCCUACGGGAGGCAGCAGUUAGGAAUCUUCCACAAUGGGCGAAAGCCUGAUGGAGCGACGCCGCGUGAGGGAUGAAGGUCUUCGGAUCGUAAACCUCUGAAUCAGGGACGAAAGACACUUCGGUGGGAUGACGGUACCUGAGUAAUAGCACCGGCUAACUCCGUGCCAGCCGCCGCCGUAACAC